rnacentral:rRNA from 1 species
UACAGAGGGUGCUAGCGUUGUUCGGAAUCAUUGGGCGUAAAGGGCGUGUAGGCGGUUUGUUAAGUCAUGUGUGAAAUCCCUCGGCUCAACCGGGGAACGACGCAUGAAACUGGCAAGCUAGAGUACCAAAGAGGGGGGUGGAAUUCCCGGUGUAGCGGUGAAAUGCGUAGAUAUCCGGAGGAACACCAGAGGCGAAGGCGGCGCACCGGGCUGCACCUGACGCUGAUCCGCGAAAGCCAGGGGAGCGAACGGG